GAUACCAGGGUCAAAAGGUCAUGCGUUUCAUGAUUGCAUGAAAAAGCAUGAGUUUGGAACCCGCAAAACAUGAGAAAGUAGCCCGAAUAGGGCGGAUUUCGAAUGUUUUUAGAAUUGUGAGAGCGCGAAGUGCGUAGCAAUCCGUAGGUAUC
rnacentral:sRNA from 1 species